AGUGGUGCAAAAUGAGGCUUGUGAAAAACAGAGUGAAUGGUUCACCGGUGAUCAAUGCGUUGGUUUUAUAUUUAGCAGCCUCGUAUGUGACUAUUAUUGCAGGGACAAAGACAAUUUACUCCAUGGUACCUGCAUAAAUAAGAAAUGCAUUUGUUCAUGCUGAACGUUUCCAUUGUGAGAUACUACUACUAGUAUACUGUAUACUAUAAUUUUGUUCAUGUAUAGCUAGUUUAAUUUCCAUGAAAUAAUUCAUGAAAUGAUGAAUAAGUCAUUAUUAUUACUCUUCUUCUACUGAGUAUGUGCAACCUUUUAUCUGCUGAUUUCAAUUAAUCCAAUUGUCCAUAUUUAUUCGAACUUUAUUUUGACACCAAAUUUUUAACGAAGUGCUUAUAUGUAUGUGCGCACUAGUAAUAACAUCCGUGCAUUGUACGGAGAACAAAUACUAGAAUAAUGUAUUUGGAUUGGCAAAGACCACAACACAUAGCAGCAGGCUGAAGCUACUGAUUCCAAAGGAAAAUAUUCAAACACUUUGGAUGCAUGACAUUCGGCAAUUGCACCAAAUCCUAAAAAGUGAAAUUGAAUUUGGUUCUAUUGUGCAUCUCCAUUUGUCUUAACCUGGCUAGUUAUUCCAACUUACUCAAUUGAUCUUCUUACUCUCAAAACCUCCCCUGCAUGGAAAUCUUCUUUGAAUUUGAGUGAUUUCAUUUAUUACUUUUCUUGGUGCUUAUAAAAAGAAAAGUAAAAUACUUUGAGUGCACCGGAUGAAGUAAUAAAAUGAUGCCCCUUUUAACUUUUUUUACUCAAACAAUCUCAUGACAUCUUCAUUCAUAAUAAUCGAUUGAAUACAAUUUAAAACACAUAAAAGAAUUGGUAUCUCAUAAAAAUAGGACCCUCGGCGGUAACCCACCCCGUCUACUCUCAGGGCUGCCACUAAUGGUAGGCUACUUAAUCAAAUUAAUUAAAAUCACCCUUCUUAUAUAGGAAAAUACCUACCUUUCUACCAAGGUAAUAUCUUUUUCAAAGAAUUCAAAUUUGGUUUCCUUGUUGAUGUACUUCUAGAAUUGGCUCCCACCAUUAGCCCCCAACAAAAGAAAAGGCACUUAACCCACAAAACAUGAAUGAAAAUUUGAUGCCAAUUCAAAGAAAAAUUCCUCUAGAUUAAAAUCAAUAAAUUUGCCCUUAAAGAAAUUCACUUUUAGUCUAGAAACUAAUUCAAAAACUUCUCAAUAUUAACUUGAUACUCCAUAAAUUCUCCUAAUUUCCCUUUUCAAGGAAAUUUGUGAUUGAUGUCAUUCACAAAGUAUAGUAAAUUAUAGUACAAAAAUUCAUUUAUUUUAAAGCUUUUAAAACUCUCAACCUCUACCGCUUUUUUAAACUAACCCAAUAAUCCUUCCACUUCAAUUAAAAAAAAAUAUAUAUAAAUAAAGCGAAAGAAUCUCCUUAUCUGAAUCUCUUUUCCAUUGUAUUUAGUUGUUGAAUUUCCAUUUACUAGGACAAACAUUGUACUAGUGAAUAAGCAAGCACUUAUCACCUAAUCCAAAUA
rnacentral:lncRNA from 1 species